rnacentral:rRNA from 1 species
GAUGAACGCUGGCGGCGUGCCUAAUACAUGCAAGUCGAGCGAACAGACGAGGAGCUUGCUCCUCUGACGUUAGCGGCGGACGGGUGAGUAACACGUGGAUAACCUACCUAUAAGACUGGGAUAACUUCGGGAAACCGGAGCUAAUACCGGAUAAUAUAUUGAACCGCAUGGUUCAAUAGUGAAAGACGGUUUUGCUGUCACUUAUAGAGGGAUCCGCGCCGCAUUAGCUAGUUGGUAAGGUAACGGCUUACCAAGGCUACGAGGCGUAGCCGAACUGAGAGAGUGAUCGGCCACACUGGAACUGAGACACGGUCCAGACUCCUACGGGAGGCAGCAGUAGGGAAUCUUCCGCAAUGGGCGAAAGCCUGACGGAGCAACGCCGCGUGAGUGAUGAAGGUCUUCGGAUCGUAAAACUCUGUUAUUAGGGAAGAACAAAUGUGUAAGUAACUAUGCACGUCUUGACGGUACCUAAUCAGAAAGCCACGGCUAACUACGUG